GCCUGUGUGGCUCAGUUGGUUAAGCAUCUGACUUCAUCUCAGGUCGUGAUCUCCUGGUUCAUGGGUUCGAGCCCUGCCCCAGGCU
rnacentral:tRNA from 1 species